UGGCGCAGUUGGUAGAACAUGGCACUUGCAACGCCAGGGUUGUGGGUUUGAUUCCCACGGG
rnacentral:tRNA from 1 species